UGCAGGUGUCGAGCGGCCGGCGGGCGCGCAAAGCCGAGGCGAUGCGCGUCUGCAGGAAAGUCCGGGCACCGCAGGGCAGGGUGCCGGAUAACGUCCGGAGUGCCGGCGCUGACCGGCAUAUGGAAAGUGCCACAGAAAAGAAAACUCCCAAGGCAACCGGUUGUAGCCGCGUUGCCCGGAAAAGCUGAAACGGUGGUGUAAGAGACCACCAGAUCCGCCGAGAGGCGGAUGCUGGGUAAACCCCACCCGGUGCAAGGCAGAGGAGGGCCCGCAUUCCGUUGCCCGCGGGGGCUCUCCGCAGGACGCCGCUUGAACUCCGGCGCAAGCCGGAGUCCAGACAGAUGGCCGCAUAAAACAGAACCCGGCUUACGGACACCUGCUGAGG
rnacentral:RNase_P_RNA from 1 species